GCGGGGGUGGAAGGCAGGUCAGUAAGGGCGUAUGGCUACCAACCUGAAGGUUGCGGGUUUGAUUCCCACCCUUUGCA